GCCGCCCCGACGUCAUCUCUCGGCUUGACUAAGCAGGGCAGCGCCCCUCCUUUCUAAAAGCUAAGUUCUUUACUCUCACUUUACAACUACUGCGUAUGAAUCGUCUGAGGUAUCUUAUGUACAUGGUUUAUCAGCUGUGAGAUGGUAAAGCUAUGGUGUGGAGGUUAAAGUCUGUGAAAGGUUAUAUGUUGCUGGUUCUUCAUGCUGCUAUGUUCAUUCUCACGUAAUGUUCAUAAUGCAUUGGUUUGUUUGUCUAUCAUGCGUGGAUGCAGAAAAUGUGUGAUGGAAUAUAGCAUAAGCUGAGUAAUUACCUUGAGAAUAUUUUGUGAGUUGAAGAUUGUCGUGGAAUUCAAUGUAGCAGGUGGAACUUCAAUUUCUGGCAGAGAAUGAAUGAAAGUUCUCCUUUAAUAUCUCGAUUGUUGAGGUGUUUCUGGACUGGGAUAACUGAAAUGAAUUAACUUUUGUUGUUUCUUCGAUAAUUGCAGGUGGAACAUGAUGGUGGAGAAGUUAAGCUAAAGCUUACCUUGAGAAUUUAGCAGGGUAAUGAAUGAGAGUUUCUCCUGCAGAAUGAAGAGGAUUAAGAGGUUGCUGCAGAUAUUAAGGACUAAUGAGAAGGGGUUGUAGGCUGCACACUUGAGUGUGCUAAGGAAUAGGUGUAGAGAUAGGGAGAAUGGGAUUGGAGGGGUGGGCGGCUAGCAUAGGGAAAGAGAAGGGUGCUGCAGAUUUUUGCACACAUAUACAUAUUUCUUUUUAUCUACUUUUGAUGUAGUAGGGUAGUCUAGAGUAGGAGUAGGAAAGAUGAUGCUUGUAAAUGUAGAUGUGAUGGUAAUAAGUAAAAUUGUUCUAUCCAAAUCUGAAAUAAUGUAUCACUUGAUCAAUGAAAUACUAGUUCCGGG
rnacentral:lncRNA from 1 species